GGAAGGGUGGCAGAGUGGACGAUUGCGCACGCCUUGAGAGCGUGAGACCCCGCAAGGGGUUCGGGGGUUCGAAUCCCUCCCCUUCCGCCA
rnacentral:tRNA from 1 species